rnacentral:rRNA from 1 species
UACGGGGGGAGCAAGCGUUGUUCGGAUUUACUGGGCGUAAAGGGCGCGUAGGCGGCCACCGCAAGUCGAUUGUGAAAUCUCCGGGCUUAACCCGGAAAGGUCAACCGAUACUGCGGGGCUAGAGUGCAGAAGGGGCAACUGGAAUUCUCGGUGUAGCGGUGAAAUGCGCAGAUAUCAGGAGGAACACCUAUUGCGAAGGCAGCUCGCUGGGACGUUACUGACGCUGAGACGCGAAAGCGUGGGGAGCAAACAGG